GCCAUGGCUCAGUGGUAGAGUAUCUGCUUGGCAUGCAGGAGAUUCCAGGUUCGAUCCCUGGCAACUCCA
rnacentral:tRNA from 1 species